UAACGGCGUMGAGCGGCGGACGGGUGAGUAAUGCCUGGGAAAUUGCCCUGAUGUGGGGGAUAACCWUUGGAAACGAUGGCUAAUACCGCAUAAUASCUUCGGSUCAAAGAGGGGGAYCUUCGGGCCUCUCGCGUCAGGAUAUGCCCAGGUGGGAUUAGCUAGUUGGUGAGGUAADGGCUCACCAAGGCGACGAUCCSUAGCUGGUCUGAGAGGAUGAUCAGCCACACUGGAACUGAGACACGGUCCAGACUCCUACGGGAGGCAGCAGUGGGGAAUAUUGCACAAUGGGCGCAAGCCUGAUGCAGCCAUGCCGCGUGUAUGAAGAAGGCCUUCGGGUUGUAAAGUACUUUCAGCAGUGAGGAAGGYGGUGUAUUUAAUAGAUGCAUCAUUUGACGUUAGCUGCAGAAGAAGCACCGGCUAACUCCGUGCCAGCAGCCGCGGUAAUACGGAGGGUGCGAGCGUUAAUCGGAAUUACUGGGCGUAAAGCGCAUGCAGGYGGAUGAUUAAGUCAGAUGUGAAAGCCCGGGGCUCAACCUCGGAAUAGCAUUYGAAACUGGUCAUCUAGAGUACKGUAGAGGGGGGUAGAAUUCAGGUGUAGCGGUGAAAUGCGUAGAGUAUCUGAAGGAAUCACYCGRGUGGCGAAGGCGGACCYCCCUG
rnacentral:rRNA from 1 species